CGCAGAAAACAUGAUGUUUCGUCAGGCUCAUAACCUGAAGGUCGUAGGUUCAAAUCCUACCCCCGCAACCA
rnacentral:tRNA from 1 species